rnacentral:misc_RNA from 1 species
GAUGAAGAACGUAGCGAAAUGCGAUAAGUAAUGUGAAUUGCAGAUUUCAGUGAAUCAUCGAAUCUUUGAACGCACCUUGCGCCUUGUGGUAUUCCACAAGGCAUGCCCGUUUGAGUAUCAUUAAAUCAUCAACUCUAAAACCUUUGUGGUUUUUUUUAGAGCUUGGUCUUGAGGGUUUUGCAGGCUUUUUUUUUUUUCGAGUCUGCUCCCUUUAAAUGCAUUAGCGAGACUUCCCUAUGCUGAACCGUCUCUUUGAAGUGAUAAUUAUCUGCGUCGAAUUUUGGUUCUCGUUGGGCUUGCUUCUAAUCGUCUGUUAAAGACAAAACGGAUUUGGGUGCAUAUAUGCGCCUUUUUCCAAAACCUUUUUUUGAUCUCAAAUCGGGUAGGACUACCCGCUGAACUUAAGCAUAUCAAUAAGCGGAGGA